UACGUAGGUGGCAAGCGUUGUUCGGAAUUACUGGGCGUAAAGCGCGCGUAGGCGGCUCUUCAAGUCAGGCGUGAAAGCCCCGGGCUUAACUCGGGAACUGCGCUUGAUACUGUCGAGCUAGAGUGUGGAAGGGGCGAUUGGAAUUCCGUGUGUAGCGGUGAAAUGCGUAGGAUAAUCAAGAGGAACACCUGCGGCGAAGGCGGGUUGCUGGGCCGACACUGACGCUGAGGCGCGAAAGCUAGGGGAGCGAACGGG
rnacentral:rRNA from 1 species